rnacentral:rRNA from 1 species
AUUGAACGCUGGCGGCAGGCUUAACACAUGCAAGUCGAGCGGGGUGAUGGUGCUUGCACUAUCACUUAGCGGCGGACGGGUGAGUAAUGCUUAGGAAUCUGCCUAUUAGUGGGGGACAACAUCUCGAAAGGGAUGCUAAUACCGCAUACGUCCUACGGGAGAAAGCAGGGGAUCACUUGUGACCUUGCGCUAAUAGAUGAGCCUAAGUCGGAUUAGCUAGUUGGUGGGGUAAAGGCCUACCAAGGCGACGAUCUGUAGCGGGUCUGAGAGGAUGAGCCGCCACACGGGGACUGAAAGACGGCCCAGACUCCUACGGGAGGCAGCAGUGGGGAAUAUUGGACAAUGGGGGGAACCCUGAUCCAGCCAUGCGGCGUGUGUGAAGAAGGCCUUAUGGUUGUAAAGCACUUUAAGCGAGGAGGAGGCUCUUUUGGUUAAUACCCAAGAUGAGUGGACGUUACUCGCAGAAUAAGCACCGGCUAACUCUGUGCCAGCCGCCGCAGUAA